rnacentral:rRNA from 1 species
UAUGUGAUCGUCUCUCGCAUAUCAAUAAGCGGAGGAAAAGAAACUAACAAGGAUUCCCCUAGUAACGGCGAGUGAAGCGGGAAGAGCUCAAAUUUGAAAUCUUAAAGGGUUUCCCUUUACGAAUUGUAGUUUAAAGAAGUGUUUUCUGUUGAGGUUUUGGUAAAAGUUCUUUGGAAUAGGACAUCAUAGAGGGUGAGAAUCCCGUAUUUGACCUUUACUUUCAACUUUGUGAUACACUUUCAAAGAGUCGGAUUGUUUGGGAAUGCAGUCCAAAAUGGGUGGUAAAUUUCAUCUAAAGCUAAAUAUCGGCGAGAGACCGAUAGCGAACAAGUACCGUGAGGGAAAGAUGAAAAGAACUUAGAAAAGAGAGUUAAACAGUACGUGAAAUUGUCAAAAGGGAAGCGUUUGACACCAGUGUUGUUUUUCUGAAAAUCAAUUAAAGAACUGUUUAUGCUAAGCUGUUUAGACUUUAUCAGCUAUCUGUUUAGUUUUGAGCUUUUCUUUAAUGCACUUUUCAGUUAACAAGUCAACAUCAAUUUCUUUUGCUGUAAAAAAGCUUGAGGAAGGUGGCUUGAGAUUCGUCUUAAGUGUUUAUAAGCCUCUUGCCUAUGCAGUCGGAGAGAUUGAGGUCUGCAGCGUAGAUCCUUCGGGGCUAAAUGCAUUUGUGCUAAGUUAUAGCAUUUUAUAGACAACUUGUUGACUAUGAUUUGUCUUGUAGCUUACUCGCUUAUGUUAUUUUACCUACGCUUAGGAUGUUGAGUAGCGACAUACGCAC